rnacentral:lncRNA from 1 species
AAAGGGGAGAUCGACGCCUGCGCGGCCAACGGGAUCCCACGCGGCCUCGACGGGAGCCGGGAGUAGGCGGACUCCCAGGCCGGGCUCGCGCUCUGGAUCCCUGAAUCCGGCCUUUCCGGCCGGACUGCCGCGCCUGUGGCCGGAAGAGCCAGCUAGACCAGAGAGUCUGUACCUGCAACCCUGGCGGCGUCCGAGCCCAAGGCGGAGUCUGGGAGACAAAGAAGUCCUCGCCGCCGGCCGCUGGAGGAUUCUGCCAGUAGUGAAGUCAGGGAUGGGCCCGAGAGAGCUUGGAAAGAGGACAAGGAAGGGAAGGAGUAGGAGUAGAAAAGCAUGACUUUGGCUGGGUAUGGUAGCUCCUGUCUGUAAUCCCAGCACUUUGGGAGGCCAAGGCGGGGGAGGAUCACUUGAGCCCAGGAAUUCGAUACCAGCCUGGGCAACAUAGUGAGACCCCGUUUUUAUUUUUAUUUUUAUUUUUUCCUGAGAUGGAGUCUUGCUCUGUCCCCAGGCUGGAGUGCAGUGGCGCGAUCUCGGCUCACUGCAAACUCCGCCUCCCGGGUUCAAGCAAUUGUCCUGCCUCAGCCUCCCGAGUAGCUGAGAUUACAGGCGCCCGCCACCAAGCCCGGAUAAUUUUUGUCUUUUUAGUAGAGAAGGGGUUUCACUAUGUUGGCCAGGCUGGUCUCGAACUCCUGACCUUGUGAUACGCCUGCCUCAGCCUCCCAAAGUGCUGGGAUUACAGGCAUGAGCCACCGCGCCCGGCCUAAUUUUUUAAUUUUUUCUAGAGAUGGGGUCUCGUUAUGUUGACCAGGCUGGUCUUGAACACCUGACCUGAAGUGAUCCUCUUGCCUCAGCCUCCCAUAGUGCUGCGAUCACAGGUGUAAGUCACUGAGUUUGGCCAUUAUUCCAUUUCUGUACACAAAAACCUUUCUCAUUCUGUGCUAUAACUAGUUAGCAUUUAAUUGGGUGGAUGUGGUAUAACUAGUGCCUUGUUGAUAUUGAUGCAUAUUUACAUGGUUUUGCUGUUAUAAACAAUGGUCCCUUGCUAUUAUAAAUCACACUGCUAUAAGUAACCUUGCAUCUAAAUUACUUCAAAUGUGUAACUAUAUGGGUAGGAUAAUUUCUAGAAGUGGAAUUGUGAACCAAAGUUUUAGGUGCAUUUGUAAUUUUGAUUUAUAACCAAUCUUUUCACUGAUCUACUUCUCUGCCUCUAAUUUCUACUAGGUGUUUGUUUGUUUGUUUGUUUGUUUUGAGACAGGGUCUUGCUCUGUCACCCAGGCUGGAGGACAGUGGUGCAAUCACGGCUCACUGCAGCCUCAACCUGCCACCUCAGCCUCCUGAAUAGUUGGGGUGUGUGGCAGGUGUAUACCACCACUUCCAGGUUUUUUUGUUGUUGUUGUUUAAUAGAGAUGAGGUCUUGCUAUAUUGCCCAGGCAGGUCUCACACUACUGAGCGCAAGCGAUCCUCCUGCCUAUGCCUCCCAAAGUGCUGGGAUUACAGGUGUGAGUUGCCAUGCCUGGCCCGGUUAUCUUUCUAAAGCAUAAAGCAACCCUGUUGAUCCUCUGCUUAAUUUUGAUGAUUAAGUAGUAUGUUCAAAAUAUAGAAAUCCAUGUAUUGAUAAUGAUCUUUUAAAAAAAGUAAAAGCCAAAAUAUCAGCUACUCAUCCUACACCAUUGAAAGUAGUGACCAUUAAACUGCUCUACCUCUACCUCCACCUCUCUACCUCUCUACCUCUCUACCUCUACCUCUACCCACGGUCUCCCUCUCUUUCCAUGGUCUCCCUCUCAUGUGGAGCCGAAGCUGGACUGUACUGCUGCCAUCUCGGCUCACUGCAACCUCCCUGCCUGAUUCUCCUGCCUCAGCCUGCCGAGUGCCUGCGAUUGCAGGCACGCGCUGCCACGCCUGACUGGUUUUGGUGGAGACGGGGUUUCGCUGUGUUGGCCGGGCCGGUCUCCAGCCCCUAACCGCGAGUGAUCCGCCAGCCUCGGCCUCCCGAGGUGCCGGGAUUGCAGACGGAGUCUCGUUCACUCAGUGCUCAAUGGUGCCCAGGCUGGAGUGCAGUGGCGUGAUCUCGGCUCGCUACAACCUACACCUCCCAGCCGCCUGCCUUGGCCUCCCAAAGUGCCGAGAUUGCAGCCUCUGCCCAGCCGCCACCCCGUCUGGGAAGUGAGGAGUGUCUCUGCCUGGCCGCCCAUCGUCUGGGAUGUGAGGAGCCCCUCUGCCUGGCUGCCCAGUCUGGAAAGUGAGGAGCGUCUCCGCCCGGCCGCCAUCCCAUCUAGGAAGUGAGGAGUGCCUCUUCCCAGCCGCCAUCACAUCUAGGAAGUGAGGAGCGUCUCUGCCCGGCCGCCCAUCGUCUGAGAUGUGGGGAGCGCCUCUGCCCCGCCGCCCCAUCUGGGAUGUGAGGAGCGCCUCUGCCCGGCCGCGACCCCGUCUGGGAGGUGAGGAGCGUCUCUGCCCGGCCGCCCCGUCUGAGAAGUGAGGAGCCACCCCAUCUGGGAAGUGAGGAG